GACGAACGCUGGCGGCGUGCCUAAUACAUGCAAGUAGAACGCUGAAGGAGGAGCUUGCUCUUCUGGAUGAGUUGCGAACGGGUGAGUAACGCGUAGGUAACCUGCCUGGUAGCGCGGGAUAACUAUUGGAAACGAUAGCUAAUACCGCAUAACAGUAGAUGUUGCAUGACAUUUGCUUAAAAGGUGCAAUUGCACCACUACCAGAUGGACCUGCGUUGUAUUAGCUAGUUGGUGGGGUAACGGCUCACCAAGGCGACGAUACAUAGCCGACCUGAGAGGGUGAUCGGCCACACUGGGACUGAGACACGGCCCAGACUCCUACGGGAGGCAGCAGUAGGGAAUCUUCGGCAAUGGACGGAAGUCUGACCGAGCAACGCCGCGUGAGUGAAGAAGGUUUUCGGAUCGUAAAGCUCUGUUGUAAGAGAAGAACGAGUGUGAGAGUGGAAAGUUCACACUGUGACGGUAUCUUACCAGAAAGGGACGGCUAACUACGUG
rnacentral:rRNA from 1 species